UACGGGGGGGGCAAGCGUUGUUCGGAAUUACUGGGCGUAAAGUGUGCGCAGGCGGCCGCGCAAGUCGAGUGUGAAAUCCCCGAGCUUAACUUGGGAAUUGCGCUCGAAACUACGUGGCUGGAGUGUGGCAGAGGAAGGUGGAAUUCCACGUGUAGCGGUGAAAUGCGUAGAGAUGUGGAGGAACACCGAUGGCGGAACGGCAGCCUUCUGGGCCAACACUGACGCUCGAUGCACGAAAGCGUGGGGAGCAAACAGG
rnacentral:rRNA from 1 species